AUAUAUUAAGUACGUAUCAUCUAGCCACGAGCAGUCACUUAGUUUACCGUAAAACCUUCCACUGUGCAUCAUUAUAUUGAAGAAGUCAAUUGACCAAGGCUGUCAUGCAGAAAAUUUGAUCUCGUAAUGUAGCUAUAUAUUACGUACGUAUCAUCUAGCCACGAGCAGUCACUUAGUUUACCGUAAAACCUUCCACUGUGCAUCUUUAUAUUGAAGAAGUCAAUUGACCAAGGCUGUCAUGCAGAAAAUUUGAUCUCGCAAUGUAGCUAUAUAUUACGUACGUAUCAUCUAGCCACGAGCAGUCACUUAGUUUACCGUAAAACCUUCCACUGUGCAUCUUUAUAUUGAAGAAGUCAAUUGACCAAGCCACGAGCAGUCACUUAGUUUACCGUAAAACCUUCCACUGUGCAUCUUUAUAUUAAAGAAGUCAACUGACCAAGGCUGUCAUGCAUAAAAUUUGAUCUCGUAAUGUAGCUAUAUAUUAAGUACGUAUCAUCUAGCCAAGAGCAGUCACUUAGUUUACCGUAAAACCUUCCACUGUGCAUCAUUAUAUUGAAGAAGUCAAUUGACCAAGGAACAACGAAAUGAAGUGUAUGACGUAUGUUAUCAUUUUGCUUGCUGUUUUUCAUUGUUCGCAAACCUUUCCAAGAACAGGUGUCGAAAAACCAGGUAAAAUAUUCAUGUCAUGCAAGUGCCCAUCUCCCGCAGGAAAACCGGAUUUCUACGCUUAUUUUGUUUUACGAAUGAAAAAUGUUGUGGUGAACAACACUAUAUGGUGUGCUGCUAUAAAUAUCGUUGAUGAUUUUUUUCUCACAAAUGAAGUAUAUCGUAUUGAAACUAAAAUUGAAUAUAAAUUGAUAUCCUCAUGAAUUAAUUAAUGGUUGAAGAAUAUAAUAUUGUUUCUUAGUAAUAAAAGAUGAUCUUUGA